GUGACUUUUAUGGAGAAACCUGGUAUAAAUAUAGGCGGAGUUGAAGCGUCAGAAUCAACCCGAACCCAGGCCUUCACGCUAGAUCCUCGUCGGACGUUGAAGCAGCGGUAUGAUUCGAGCUCCUGCAUCUCAAGCCGCCCGCGGGGCUCGUCUGUCAGAGAGCGCUAGACUCCAUCGCCUUGCGCUACAGCGUCGCCAGAGCCAACAAUUCCAACAGCCACAAGAACAACAACAACAAGAACCGCGGAGCCCUGAAGAGGAGUGUCUAAUCGGCGAGCUGGAACACGUGCUGUCCAGACAGCCGAGCGUGGAGCCUUCAACUUCCUAGAGCGGGGCCCCUGUGCUUCUAGCUGAGCAGCGCGUCCCGGAACAGGCGAGGCGAACCCCCGUGCGUCGUCCGGGGACUCCUCUUCCAAGGGGUCGUUCCGGUAAGUUUCUUUUUUUUUUUAAAGAGGGUUGUUUCUAUGGCCUGUGACUAACUCAAGACUGUUUUCAAUCAGAUUCCGCUCGUCCGGGACUACGAGGGAGGAGGCGGUUCCGAGGAUCGAGGCUGCUUUUCAAUAGGGCCGUUGAGCACAGAUUUGAGAGCGUCGUCUGGAAUGUUAUUGAGAGGAGUCUGAUGAUGAAUGAUUUGCUCCGCACGCUGAUGUGAAAACUGUGCUGGAAUGUCACUCAUUUGAUUAUUAAACAACAAGAUGGCUGAGGAAAACUCUGAUCUCAAUGAUUUACAAGCCGAAUUAGAGGAUGUGUUAACUUUGAUAUCCAAUGGCCAAAGAGGGUUUCGGGGUGUGAACAUAACCACCGAGCAUUUUGAUCGGUUGGAUAAUUU
rnacentral:lncRNA from 1 species